rnacentral:rRNA from 1 species
UACGUAGGGUGCGAGCGUUAAUCGGAAUUACUGGGCGUAAAGCGUGCGCAGGCGGUUUCACAAGCUCGAUGUGAAAGCCCCGGGCUUAACCUGGGAAUGGCAUUGAGGACUGUGGAGCUCGAGUGCGGCAGAGGGAGGUGGAAUCCACGUGUAGCAGUGAAAUGCGUAGAUAUGUGGAGGAAUACCGAUGGCGAAGGCAGCCCCCUGGGAUAACCACUGACGCUCAUGCACGAAAGCGUGGGGAGCGAA